rnacentral:rRNA from 1 species
UACGUAGGGGGCAAGCGUUGUCCGGAUUUAUUGGGCGUAAAGAGCGUGUAGGCGGCCAUACAGGUCCGUUGUGAAAACUGGAGGCUUAACCUCCAGACGUCGAUGGAAACCGUAUGGCUAGAGUCCGGAAGAGGAGAGUGGAAUUCCUGGUGUAGCGGUGAAAUGCGCAGAUAUCAGGAAGAACACCCGUGGCGAAGGCGGCUCUCUGGGACGGUACUGACACUGAGGGACGAAAGCUAGGGGAGCGAAUGGG